rnacentral:misc_RNA from 1 species
AACGGUCUAUACCUGCGGUACCUGCGGAGGGAUCAUUAACAAAUUGUCCACUAUGGAUAAUUUAUCCAUACCCACCUUGCGUGCACCGAUUGACUUGUUUAUUGGCAGGCGUUCGAGCCGCGACAUAUCACUACUUGUUGGUGAUUGGGUUUCGGCCUGCCAAUUUUAUUUGUCUCGACUUGUCUAUAAUUAACAUGAGUCUGAAACUUUUUACCAUGUAACAAAUACAACUUUCAACAA